rnacentral:rRNA from 1 species
UACAGAGGUGGCAAGCGUUGUUCGGAAUUACUGGGCGUAAAGGGCGCGUAGGCGGCCUUCUAAGUCAGACGUGAAAUCCCCCGGCUCAACCUGGGAACUGCGUCCGAUACUGGAAGGCUCGAGUUUGGGAGAGGGAUGUAGAAUUCCAGGUGUAGCGGUGAAAUGCGUAGAUAUCUGGAGGAAUACCGGUGGCGAAGGCGGCAUCCUGGACCAAUACUGACGCUGAGGCGCGAAAGCUAGGGGAGCAAACGGG